rnacentral:tRNA from 1 species
GAGGCAGUAGCUCAGUUGGUAGAGCAGGUUAGCUUUUUAAUUACCAAUGGUCAAUAAAAGCUUACUUCAGCACUCCUAAUGCCCAGGUUGUGGGUUCGAAUCCCACCUGCCUCA